rnacentral:ncRNA from 2 species
CAGCAGUGACAGGGGAGCCUCGCACAAGAGCAGUGCAGGGCUGAGAGGUCCCAAAAGGGACGACCCUUUGAACCUGAACAGCGGUAAUACCUGCGAAGGAAGGCACCUUUGAGAUUUC